ACUCGUAGUUGAUGCCAUAUGCACCCGAGGAGCUGACAUGUCUGUGCCAGAUGAGAAGGGGAACCCCCCGCUGUGGCUUGCAUUGGCAAACAAUCUGGAGGACAUCGCAUCCACUCUGGUCAGACAUGGCUGUGAUGCCACAUGCUGGGGUCCAGGACCUGGUGGGUGCCUUCAGACGCUCCUGCAUAGAGCCAUUGAUGAAAACAGCGAGCCCACCGCCUGCUUUCUUAUUCGCAGGUCUGAGCGUCCCCAGUAUCUCUCCACAGCUUUUUAGUGAGCUUGUUGCAAACUGGCUCUUUCCUUUUUAAAUCCGUCUACAGUCUUGGCCAGUAGCCGGCUUGACUUUUACGGUUAAGGUUAUCAGAGAGUCACUGUUCUGUCAUGUUAAGUCAGCCAGGAGCCAGGCUCACUUGUGACGGGAGUUGCUCACAGGCCUGGAUCAAAGAAUCUGAAAGCUUGAG
rnacentral:sRNA from 1 species